rnacentral:rRNA from 1 species
CGUGUAGGCGGCUUGGUAAGUCAGGUGUGAAAGCCCUGGGCUCAACCCAGGAAGUGCAUUUGAAACUACCAGACUUGAGUACGGGAGAGGAGGGGGGAAUUCCCGGUGUAGAGGUGAAAUUCGUAGAUAUCGGGAGGAAUACCGGUGGCGAAGGCGCCCCUCUGGACCGAUACUGACGCUGAGACGCGAAAGCGUGGGGAGCAAACA